AUGAUCCUCCAGAUACAGGUCCUAUUUGUUUGUGAAAACUUCUUCAGUCAACCAUUAUCAAAGCAACAGAAGGGAAAAAUUAUACUUGGGCUUCAAUAUGUUUUCUUUUUAGCUGUCUUCAGAGGUGUCCAAUCAGAGAUCCAGCUGGUGGAGUCUGGAGGGGAUGUCAAAAGGCCUGGAGAGUCCCUCCACCUGUCCUGCAAAGCCUCUGGGUUCACCUUCACCAGCUACUACAUGGGCUGGGUGAGACAAGCUCUUGGAAAAGGCUUGGAAUGGUUAACCAGCACAUAUUCAACCAGCAUUUACAUCUCCGAUAAAGUGAAGGGACGAUUUACCCCCUCCAGGGAUAACCCAAACAGCCUGCUGUAUUUACAAAUGAAUAGCUUGAAGCCUGAAGACACGGCUGUGUAUUACUGUGCAAGAUGCACAGUGAGAGAAAGUGAAUUGGGAAGGAGGAAAGAGGUGAAGGAGAUCAAUAUUUUGGUCCCACAAUCCUAUAGACCCAAAACCUUUGGAUUUCUUCGGCGUCCUGCUUUUUCUUUCUACAAGCUGGUGUUUCUUACCACAAAUCUGUUGAAUACUCAUCUCACAUGA